GGGAGAUUGCCGCUUCCCCUGCAUUUGGUUCGUGGGUUACAGAGUAAGCGAACAGAGACUGUACUGCAGCCGGGGAAGAUUUACUAAACGGCGGUUUGGCUUAAAGACACGGGAGGUGUCUUAACAAUUGGUGGCAAGCGACGGGAUGAAUCCUACAGCAUUGGAGGUCAGCUACGAGACAUGCAGUACGAGGAAUUAAGGCG